GAUGAACGCUGGCGGCGUGCCUGAUACAUGCAAGUCGAGCGAAUGGAUUAAGAGCUUGCUCUUAUGGAGUUAGCGCCGGACGGGUGAGUAACACGUGGGUAACCUGCCCAUAAGACUGGGAUAACUCCGGGAAACCGGGGCUAAUACCGGAUAACAUUUUGAACCGCAUGGUUCGAAAUUGAAAGGCGGCUUCGGCUGUCACUUAUGGAUGGACCCGCGUCGCAUUAGCUAGUUGGUGAGGUAACGGCUCACCAAGGCAACGAUGCGUAGCCGACCUGAGAGGGUGAUCGGCCACACUGGGACUGAGACACGGCCCAGACUCCUACGGGAGGCAGCAGUAGGGAAUCUUCCGCAAUGGACGAAAGUCUGACGGAGCAACGCCGCGUGAGUGAUGAAGGCUUUCGGGUCGUAGAACUCUGUUGUUAGGGAAGAACAAGUGCUAGUUGAAUAAGCUGGCACCUUGACGGUACCUAACCAGAAAGCCACGGCUAACUACGUGCCAGCCGCCGCAGUAA
rnacentral:rRNA from 1 species